UUUCCUCAAGGGAUGGCACCGCAUCAGAGGGCCAGUUUGGGAUUCCAUUGCUGGAAGAUGAGUUUAUCAUCAAGGAGAGUGAAACUUUGCUCUCGGUAGAUGGCCAUCACCAGACCCUGAAGAUGAACAGGAAGAAAAACAUAACUGCUUAAGAAACAUGUGAGAUGAGGCAGACAUGGAAGAGGCUGAAGUCCGUGUAAAGGCUCCGUCGUCAUUUAAGUUGCUCGUCACUUAUACAGCAGCUCGAUGGGCUGGGUUACCUGUGUCUGUGUCCUAAAUCAGGCUAAAAACUCGAGAAUCAGAAAGUUCUGAGGUUUCUUUGAACUCUAAAAAUUUCUUCUUAAGUAGCCGCAGGAAAGUCACCUCAGCGUGUCCGGCAUUUCACUUCCCAGGCCACAAAGGGUUUGAGGAAGUUAGGAAGGAAAAGACACUUUAUUCAAGCCCCCUGGGGUAGACAGUUGAUGUAUUUUUGGCUGCCCGACUCCCUAGAACACUCUUCCUAUUUUGGGAAAUUCUCCAUCUUUUGAGUCCUGUCCUUCCUACCACAGAAGCCAGAAACUCUUUCCUGCCUCCCGUCAGCCAGGCCCCCGCGUGGGAUAGAGGACCCCCGUCAGACACUUGUGUGACACCUCCGUUCAGAGGCUGGUGCCACACAGGUUCACUCUGGGACAGCGACUGCACAGAUUCCGGAGGCAGUGGGCCGAGGGUCAGCUGUAGGCUGCAGCUGGCUUUCUGGGGCGGCUGUGGCUGUGGCAUUGCCUCCAUCUGGUGACUCCACAGGAUCAUCCUGUGGCAGGGUUUGCAGUUGCUCAGGCUGUGUAUCUGGUCCUGGAGAGUCCGUGUGCUACCAAAACCAUUCGCCACAUUUCCUUAAUGCUUAAACCAGCCAGUUUGCAACUGACAACUAACUGACACCGUCUUUACAUGCAAAGCCACGAAGGAGGGAAUUUAAAAAUGAAUGGGAUCUCGUCCUCAAGGAGUCUAUGUAACACCGUGGAGAGAAGGAAAGUAAAUGACCACAAUAGCCAGCGGCCUCCGAGGGGCAGAAGAGUGCUGUAGGAAGAGCAGACCCUCCGAGCCGUCCUGCCGGGGCUUCCAAUCCUGGCCCCACUGCUGUUAACUUCGUUUCCUUGGACUAGUUGCUUAACCUCUCUGUGCCUCAGUUUUUAAUCUGUAAAAUGGGGAUAAUAAUAUGAUUACCUUAUAGGGUUUUAUGGUGGAGAGUCCUCAUUGCCUCCCCACCUGCGUUCUCUCCUUUCUGGGCACACGGCUGAGCAGUUCGAAAUUGUAUUUCACCCUCCGUUAGAAGGAACUCUGUGCAACCAUGUGACUAAGGUUAACAGCAGAGUGAGAGCACAAGCCAU
rnacentral:lncRNA from 1 species